rnacentral:lncRNA from 1 species
CCAUGGAUUCAGUUGCAUGGUAGAGAACAUAAGACUUCAAGCUGCUGAUUAUACCCUUUCUACUUGGCCUUUCUAACACAAAGAUAAUAUAUUCACAUCAGCUGGAUAUCAGAGGCAUCUAUGUACAAAUACCAUGAUGGUUUAGGACUGUCUGUGAAAACCAGAAGCCAGCCUAGAUCCCUGGAGCACACGAGCCUUACUGAUAAUGAAACUCUUGGUUCUGUCUCAUUGAGCUCCCUGAUUUGUCUGCUUUUCCAUCUCCUGAGACACCUGCCACCCUAGUUCUUAGGCAUGGGGAAUUAACACAGCAUUAUUGUCCAAAGAGACAGCAAGACGUCCUCUCUUUUGUGAAUCACUGGCAUGUGCUCCUCAUGGCUGUUUUUGCUUCUUCCCUUUCUCCUACAUGAUGCAGCCAGGAAAGGAGGACACAUUUCAAGAAAAAUUUGGAGCCAUAAUUCUAAGGACAGCAGCUGUCCCAUACAGGCUUGAAGCUAUCCUCAUCUUGAGUACGUGGCUUGAUGAUCUUCUUCUGGCAGGAGGCAGUAGGAGUUUUUGGGAAAAACAAAUUGAAUGGGGAAAGCAAAGGAAAUGUCUGAAGCAGGAGACGGAGAAAAGACAAAGAAAGGUGACAAAGAGAAAAACACAGCAAACCUACAAAAUUCAGCUUCUCUUUCUGAUGCUGACUCUACUUUCCAAUGUGGGGGAAAAGAACCAAAGUGCACAUUCCUAUUAACUCCCCAAGAACUCGUACUCAUGCUAGACUGUUUAUGUUGACUUAGCUGCAUUUUGGUGACCAGAUCCCAGAAGGUUUGUGAAAUAAAUUAUCUUGUCUGGCUAACCCA